AAGGAAACCAGAAAGCACUGAAGGGAACCAUCAGCCACAGACAGCUGGAGCAGAUGUAAUUGAAAGAAAAUUGAAAGAAGGGAAGAGGUGUCUAAGUUCCAGCCCCAGCAAGCCAGAGAAGGAGGCAACUUCAGCCACGUGGUUCUAGCUUUAGCGACAAGGAUACAGGAAAGGGGCCGUAGAAUCUCCCUCCAUGGCUAAGGGAAGCUGCUGGGGCCAGUCACGUGCCCUUUCAUGGAGGCCCAGAGAGGCCAUGGUGUGAAGCUGUGAAGGUGAAGCCUGGAUUGCCUCGGAGACAAGCUAUUGGAGAUGCCAGACUCGGGGGGUACUGCCGGUACAGACUGGGUGUGGAGCCGGCCCAAGAGGGAGAAGUGUGAUCUCCCACAGUCAACAAAGCUGGACGGAGUGAGAUCUGAAGAGCCCUUUAACAUCAGACAUGGAGGUACACAACGCAGAGUUUGCCCAGCUGGCCUUCAGGCGUGCUUUGGUCCAGUAUUCCCUCACUGUGCUCCAUAUCUUCCCCUUUGGAAUGGUCAGGAUGAAGCUCUCAACUACUUCUACAGCACCAUGCCUGCUGCUGCCAUGCUCUCCCCCUGUGCUGAUAAUGGACCAAGCCUCUGAAAUUCUAAGCUCCCAAUUAAAUGCUUUCUUUUAUAAACA